AAUGGUGCGAUCUAGUCGAAGCG
rnacentral:miRNA from 1 species